CCGGUAGAACAAAACGGACGCGCAAACAGGACAGGUGGUUUCGUCACUCUCCAGUUCACCAGAGCAUCAGAUCAGUCCACGUCUUGUAAUCCGUUCCUCCCGCCUUAAAGUUCGCCCGCAAACUUGUUUCAACUCACGGUAUCAACCAACCAUGUCUUCUCCCGUGGCCAAGAACGCUUCAGUCCUGAUGAAGUCGCUGAGAGAAAGCUUCCCGACGUACCACAAGUACGAGGCGGUGGGCCAGGGCGUACCCGGUGACGAUGAUGAUGAUGAGUUCCAUGAGUACGAGCCGGGCCGGGCCGUCAGCUCUCCGCUCACGGGGCAAGGCAUCACGGGAAACAUCAGUCCGCGGGGAUUCUGGAAGAACUUCAGCUUCACAGACAAGAUCAGGAGAGCAAAGAGGCAGUCGGACAGCCUUUAAGUGUAACCUACAUGUGCCACUGCCGAGAUAGAGGGGUGUGAUCUGCUGCUGAACCGGACCCUCCACAGAUGCUGAAGACAAAGAACUUUCAUAUUCAAGCGUUAGAGGGAAGAGAUUUAUAAAUGAUGGAUUUAAUCACGAUAAAUGUUGAGGAGCAUAACCUUAGUUGUUUUGUUCCACUGACGCUGCGUACCUUACGUAAUAAAUACGUAAACGUUUCAUGUGACGAAGGAGGUUGCUCCUGCAUUUAGGCCAUUUAAUUUUGGGCAAGAAUGUACGAAUAAAGAUCAUGCAAGACAAGCAGGUGAUAUGAGACUGUACAUAUUCAUAAGUAAGUACAUGUCAUUAGGGCAAACUAAUUUAGAUUAGAGUGACACUCGGGAUGGUCGCUGGUUUACAGGAAAGUUCUUAUCAAAGAUGUCCAUUGCAUGUGUGAACUGAUGUUGUACAUACGUGUGCAUAUAAUGUUACAUUGGAAGCUAUUAAAACUAGUUAUGAUUGUUGCCAUUCUAGUAUUCAUUAAAGCUAGAGCUCAAAUGGGACAAGUUCUAACCACGCAUCUGAUAUUUUAAUGUAGUGGUGUUACUGUAGAUGUCACAUGGUGCAAUCAUGGAGCAUGAGUCCAUUUGACCAUCUAUGAUAUCAGCAGAGCAAAUUGUACUGUACACGACAUGUUGAUAUCUUUGUCCGAAAGGCCAGAAAAUUAUAAUGUUGAUGCACAACCAAGCUCUUCAAGAAUAAAAGCAAUGAUAGGGAAACUAAAGUAAUCAAAGAAAAGCCUUCAUCUUUGUUGAACAUUGAGUGACAUAUUAAUAUUAUUGAGUUGACCAUAUGUUUGUGUGUGCUAUUCUAAUGUCAAAAUAAAGGAGGAAUUCUCAAACUUCA